rnacentral:tRNA from 1 species
GGGGCUGUAGCUCAGUAGUAGAGCGCUUGCCUAGCAUGCAUGAGGCACUGGGUUUGAUCCUCAGCACCG